GAUGAAGAACGUAGCGAAAUGCGAUAACUAAUGUGAAUUGCAGAAUUCAGUGAAUCAUCGAGUCUUUGAACGCACAUUGCGCCCCCUGGUAUUCCGGGGGGCAUGCCUGUCCGAGCGUCAUUGCUGCCCUCAGGCACGGCUUGUGUGUUGGGCUCCGUCCCCCCGGGGACGGGCCCGAAAGGCAGCGGCGGCACCGAGUCCGGUCCUCGAGCGUAUGGGGCUUUGUCACCCGCUCUGUAGGCCCGGCCGGCGCCAGCCGACAACCCAUCAUCCUUUUCAGGUUGACCUCGGAUCAGGUAGGGAUACCCGCUGAACUUAAGCAUAUCAAUAAGCGGAGGA
rnacentral:misc_RNA from 1 species